UUGGAGGGCAAGUCUGGUGCCAGCAGCCGCGGUAAUUCCAGCUCCAAUAGCGUAUAUUAAAGUUGUUGCAGUUAAAAAGCUCGUAGUUGAAUUUCGGGGUCAGUAGGUUGGUCGUGCCUAUGGUAUGUACUGGCUUUACUGAUUCCUCCUUCUUGAAGAACUGUAAUGUCAUUAAUUUGGUGUUGCAGGGAAGCAGGACUGUUACUUUGAAAAAAUUAGAGUGUUUAAAGCAGGCUAACGCUUGAAUACAUUAGCAUGGAAUAAUGAAAUAGGACGUUUGAUCCUAUUUUGUUGGUUUCUAGGAUUGACGUAAUGAUUAAUAGGGAUAGUUGGGGGCAUUAGUAUUCAAUUGUCAGAGGUGAAAUUCUUGGAUUUAUUGAAGACUAACUACUGCGAAAGCAUUUGCCAAGGAUGUUUUCAUUAAUCAAGAACGAAAGUUAGGGGAUCGAAGACGAUCAGAUACCGUCGUAGUCUUAACCAUAAACUAUGCCGACUAGGGAUCGGAUGAUGUUAAUUUUUUAAUGACUCAUUCGGCGCCUUACGGGAAAC
rnacentral:rRNA from 1 species